rnacentral:misc_RNA from 1 species
CAACCCGAAGAUGCAAAGCCUCGUCCUCUCGGUCGUCAUGGACCAGUCGGUCGGCGUGCGGGGGAGCAUCAACGCGCUGCAGUUCGAGGCCGUCCUCGGAGCGGUUCUCGCCGGCCUGGUCGUCGUGCUGUUUCUGCGGAACUGGCUGCUGACCUCCGUCAUUCUGCUGGCGAUUCCGCUGUCGAUCCUGGCGGCGCUCGUCGGGCUGUUCUAUACGGGCGACACCCUGAAC